rnacentral:sRNA from 1 species
CAGCCGAGGGCCUAACUUCUCGAAGUGA